UACGGAGGGUGCGAGCGUUGUCCGGAAUUAUUGGGCGUAAAGAGCUUGUAGGCGGUCUGUCGCGUCUGCUGUGAAAAUCCGGGGCUCAACCCCGGACUUGCAGUGGGUACGGGCAGACUAGAGUGUGGUAGGGGAGACUGGAAUUCCUGGUGUAGCGGUGAAAUGCGCAGAUAUUAGGAGGAACACCGGUGGCGAAGGCGGCGAUCUGGACGAUGACUGACGCUGAGACGCGAAAGCGUGGGGAGCAAACAGG
rnacentral:rRNA from 1 species